CCGAUGUUUAGCUAAAUUAUUUUUUUCUCGUUUUCCUCCCGUGAUUUGCCCUAGCUCCCAAAUUUCUUUCAGCCUAUGCCUGUCUCUCGCGUUGCACGCUGACCCUCUCCAUCACAUAGGUAUGACUUCUCUCUCUCUCUAUUGUGGUGGUAUAAUGGUGGGAGGUGGUUUCGGUGGUGGUAUAUUGGUGGGAACGGGGUGAGGGUUCUGGUGGUGGAGAGGUGGCAAGGUUGUGGAGGGACUGUGGUAGGAAAAUGAAGUGGGGCUGGGUUUCGGUAUUUUCUUUCGCUACUCCAACCCUGGUAUUUCUCUCCAAAUCCCUACUCAUUAGAAAUUUAUGUAACAUACUAACAUUCAGAUAUAUGUACACACCUAGCCAUUACUGAUUUUAUCCCUUUCCUUUUCUUCUUCUUCCCUAGGAGAUUUCGAGGGGCCAAUCUCGAAUUAGGAUUUUUGUUCGAGAAGAUCAUCAAUAUAUGCACAUAUAUUUACAGAGAAUUUCUAUAUUUUGAAUUUGGAGUUUUCCCUCAUUCCUUCAUUCGAAUAUAUAUAUAUAUAUAUAUAUCAGUGUAGAGUGGGAGAUUUGGGGAGUAAUUAGCAAUAACAAAAUGGUUUCAUCACUGUUUGUUUAAUCCUAUGGGAGUCCACGAGGUUUUCCUCUGUUUUUCCUUCAGUAGAAUGGAAGGAAGUUGUAGACAUUAUACUAGUGGGAACGAUGCACUAGGUGAAGGCCUAUAAGGACAUAAAGGAGUACUCAAUUAAUAACUUUAUUACUUGCAUAGAUCAGGAACCCCUGCAUUACUUAUUAAUACGAUUUUCUUUUGUCCCAAACAUUUCUUUACACAUCACUAUCAUUUAUGGUGAUUCUAUUUUGUAUUUCAUAACUUCUUGGGGAAUGGAAGUGAAUUCUAUUGAUGCUCUCAAUCAAUUAGCUUUUUGUAGUAGAAGUGAUCUUUAUUUGUGGAUGCUUGGGAACAAAAAAAUUCACAUCAAACAGGGGACUAUAUUUUCUGUUUUAAACCUUCUUGGAUAAUGAAAAUAACUAUUUGAAAUGGAUUUAUCUGGCAAAAUAAUACUAGGGAACAUGAAAUGCUUCAUGAAGAUUUUUCAUCAUCUGAUUAGUGUGUAAUGUUUUUUUGUAUAUGUAAUCUAACAGUGGAAAAUCUUUCAUGAUAUUUUUUUCAUGAUACCUAGUAUUACUUUUGCAAGAAUAGCGGUAUUAGAAUAACCAAAGAGUAAUUAAUUGACUAUCUUGGAAUUGUUGCUCAUAGUGCACUUUUGACAUUAUUAAAGGCUUUUAAGGAAUGUAAUUCUCUUCACUUGGUCAAUUUCCAAUUAUUAUUAUUUAUUUAUUUUUAUUUAACAUAAACAUGUCAAUUGCUCUGUUCUUCUACUACUUACGGAUAUUUUAAUGGACUUGAUAGGUUUGAAGCUCUUGCAAAAGGAAUUCAACAAAGUACGAUUACAAAAAUAGAGCGCUAAUGGAUAUGCUUACGGGUUGGGAGGUAUGAUGAAGAACAGACUUGUAGCAAAACUCAAAACCAAUGUAAGGAAAUCAACAUUUUUAGCAAUUUUUUUUUAAAAAAAUAAAAAUAAAAUGGGAUUGGUGUUUUAACAGUCAUUGAAGAUAGAAGAUAGUAUAUCUUGAUGAAUUAUUUGAAGCAGUUGUAAUAUUUUCGGUUUGAAAUAUUCUUGAGUUAGAUAUUGUUUUUAUUA